rnacentral:rRNA from 1 species
CAUUAGCUAGUUGGAGGGGUAACGGCCCACCAAGUCAACGAUGGAUAGGGGUUCUGAGAGGAAGGUCCCCCACAUUGGAACUGAGACACGGUCCAAACUCCUACGGGAGGCAGCAGUGAGGAAUAUUGGUCAAUGGACGAGAGUCUGAACCAGCCAAGUAGCGUGAAGGAUGACUGCCCUAUGGGUUGUAAACUUCUUUUAUACGGGAAUAAAGUGGAGUAUGCAUACUCCUUUGUAUGUACCGUAUGAAUAAGGAUCGGCUAACUCCGUGCCAGCAGCCGCGGUAAUACGGAGGAUCCGAGCGUUAUCCGGAUUUAUUGGGUUUAAAGGGAGCGUAGGCGGGUGCUUAAGUCAGUUGUGAAAGUUUGCGGCUCAACCGUAAAAUUGCAGUUGAUACUGGGCGCCUUGAGUGCAGCAUAGGUAGGCGGAAUUCGUGGUGUAGCGGUGAAAUGCUUAGAUAUCACGAAGAACUCCGAUUGCGAAGGCAGCUUACUGGACUGUAACUGACGCUGAUGCUCGAAAGUGUGGGUAUCAAACAGGAUUAGAUACCCUGGUAGUCCACACAGUAAACGAUGAAUACUCGCUGUUGGCGAUACACAGUCAGCGGCCAAGCGAAAGCAUUAAGUAUUCCACCUGGGGAGUACGCCGGCAACGGUGAAACUCAAAGGAAUUGACGGGGGCCCGCACAAGCAGUGGAGUAUGUGGUUUAAUUCGACGCAACGCGAAGAACCUUACCAAGUCUUGACAUCCCUUGACGAUGCUGGAAACAGUAUUUCUCUUCGGAGCAAGGAGACAGGUGGUGCAUGGUUGUCGUCAGCUCGUGUCGUGAGAUGUUGGGUUAAGUCCCGCAACGAGCGCAACCCUUAUGGUCAGUUACUACGCAAGAGGACUCUGGCCAGACUGCCGUUGACAAAACGGAGGAAGGUGGGGAUGACGUCAAAUCAUCAUGCCCUUUAUGACUUGGGCUACACACGUACUACAAUGGCGUUAAACAAAGAGAAGCAAGACCGCGAGGUGGAGCAAAACUCAGAAACAACGUCCCAGUUCGGACUGCAGGCUGCAACUCGCCUGCACGAAGUCGGAAUUGCUAGUAAUCGUGGAUCAGCAUGCCACGGUGAAUACGUUCCCGGGCCUUGCACUCACCGCCCGUCAAG